CGAAUCGAACGAGAUCAAAUAGUGUUGGACGACCAAAACAGGGCUACUUACUCCAUGAAAGCAAAUAAAGAGAAAGGUAGAAGAGAACCCUCAAAUAGACGAACCGCCGGGAGAGAGCCAACAGAGCCAGAUCCACAGUCCUCGAAUUGAUCCAGAUCCGAUAGAUGCCCAGAGAGAAGCACACUGUGAGCUUGCACUUCACUCCGCCACACCCACGCCUUCAGCACCAACGAAGCUUUGCCUCCGACCAGAUCACAUAUCUCAGAGUAGAUCAAAAGACAAAAGGGAGAAGGGAGAGAUCGUCACCAGCACUAGUCUUCCGAGCACCACAACUAGUCACCUAGACCCCAAGCCUCGUGCAUGCAGCACCGCCAGCUAAUCGAGAAACCAUCACAACGCGUAUUUGAUCAAAAGACCUCGUCCGAAGAUAAAAAAUCGCUAAGAGAAUAGAUAGAGGUGAAGUGCUUUUCACGUUGCCGCAGCCGCCAGAAAGGUGAUAGAGUGUUUUUCUCUCUCCA
rnacentral:lncRNA from 1 species